AUGAGGGGUGGGCACAUUUAGGUUAUAUUUUCGAUGAAUGCCUUGGACGAUGAAUGACUGGAGUGGUGCACCGCUUCGGCAGGCAGAUGAUUCCAGUCUU
rnacentral:lncRNA from 1 species